GACUUCUCUCCGCCAGACCGCCGCCGCGCCGCCAUCAUGGACACCAGUCGUGUGCAGCCUAUCAAGCUGGCCAGGGUCACCAAGGUCCUGGGCAGGACCGGCUCUCAGGGACAGUGCACGCAGGUAAUCGGGUGGGGGCAUUUGGCCGACUGCCGGGGACCUAAACCCUGAUGUGACCCCUACCCUGCCCUAACCCUGCCAGCCGGAAUCCGGGAGCCGAUGCUCAUUUCAUCCCAGGGUUCUGAUGGUUCCCUUUAACGAUCUGUGUUCUGGCCCCGACACGUUCUCUAAAUUCAUAUCUGCUUCCCACUCCGCGGUGCCUUUCCGCGGCCCGCCCUAACUUCUUCCUCCACUCCCCGGUGGGGACCCGUAGGUGCGCGUGGAAUUCAUGGACGACACGAGCCGAUCCAUCAUCCGCAAUGUAAAAGGCCCCGUGCGCGAGGGCGACGUGCUCACCCUUUUGGAGUCAGAGCGAGAAGCCCGGAGGUUGCGCUGAGCUUGGCUGCUCGCUGGUGGGUACAAAGAGGACACCCCUUUGAUAGACCUUUGGUUGGUGGUAGGGAGGCUUUGUUAAGCCCAGGGUGAGAGGGUUUGGGAGGCAGAGUCUACAGAGACUGACAAGAGGGAGGCGGGAGUUUGCCAAUUGCUGCAGGGCCUCUCAACAUCUCAUGUUUGGGUCUGUUUACAGGGUCUUGGAUGUUGGGUUCGACCACUUGGCCGAUGGGAAUGGUCUGUCACAAUCUGCUCCUUUUGUUUUUUUGCCCGCCACACGGAAUUGAGAUGCUCCUUUAAAUAAAGCGUUUGUGUUUCAAGUUAACUCGGGUUCUUGUCUGGGUUAUGCGACUAGGGUUUCUCUAGGUUUCUUGAGUGGCUCCCAGGCGGUCACCGAUCCUCCGCACUCUGGAAAUCCUGG
rnacentral:sRNA from 1 species